GCGCAACAACUUCCACCUGGCUUACCUUUUCAGUCUUGUGUCAUUGCUUGUAUCGCAUUGAAUGCAUGGUGGGUUUCUUGUGUUGCAUGCCUAAUUGAUGGUAUCAUUUGAAGAAUUGAUGUCCCUUUUCAUCUUGUGUUGCACAUGCGAUGUGAGAUGAACCUCGAAGUAGCCUUUGUGAUCCACUCUUUCGAUGUACACGCAUUGAUUUUGUGGCCCGCUGUGUGUUGCUUGGUCUCAUGGAUAUGGAACCUGGUGUGGGCAUGGGAUCUUUACUAGUUCCUUGUUUGCCCUGGUUUAGCUUUUCUAAUACGAUUGUUUAUCACAUUUUAAUGUGGUAGGCUAUAUCGGAUAUGAAUGCUACCUGGUUGAUCCUGCC
rnacentral:misc_RNA from 2 species